rnacentral:tRNA from 1 species
GAAGUGGUGGUGUAACGGAUAAGACGCUCGACUUUCAUUCGUGAGGUCGUGGGUUCGAAUCCAGCCAAUUACCA